GCACGAGUGGCUCAGCGGUGGAGUAUCGCCUUGCCAAGGCGAGGGUCGCGGGUUCGAAUCCCGUCUCGUGCU
rfam:Clostridium sp. CAG:75 genomic scaffold, scf458